CCUCGGCAAACAUUCAACGCUGUCGGUGAGUUUUUGGUAUGGGUCCCAUAAAAACCAUCGACCGUUGACUGUGCCCCGCGG
rfam:Tetraodon nigroviridis, WGS project CAAE01000000 data, contig: CNS0BZ30, chromosome: 15